AUGAACGCUGGCGGCGUGCCUAAUACAUGCAAGUCGAGCGAACGGACGAGAAGCUUGCUUCUCUGAUGUUAGCGGCGGACGGGUGAGUAACACGUGGAUAACCUACCUAUAAGACUGGGAUAACUUCGGGAAACCGGAGCUAAUACCGGAUAAUAUUUUGAACCGCAUGGUUCAAAAGUGAAAGACGGGCUUGCUGUCACUUAUAGAUGGAUCCGCGCUGCAUUAGCUAGUUGGUAAGGUAACGGCUUACCAAGGCAACGAUGCAUAGCCGACCUGAGAGGGUGAUCGGCCACACUGGAACUGAGACACGGUCCAGACUCCUACGGGAGGCAGCAGUAGGGAAUCUUCCGCAAUGGGCGAAAGCCUGACGGAGCAACGCCGCGUGAGUGAUGAAGGUCUUCGGAUCGUAAAACUCUGUUAUUAGGGAAGAACAUAUGUGUAAGUAACUGUGCACAUCUUGACGGUACCUAAUCAGAAAGCCACGGCUAACUACGUG
rnacentral:rRNA from 1 species